GCUUGUUCCCUCUCACUCGGAUCGUCCGGCACGUUCCUGCCGGUGGAAGGAGCACAGC
rfam:Pseudonocardia sp. CNS-139 NODE_76_length_33819_cov_181.318_ID_121, whole genome shotgun sequence.